CAAAACAGAACAAAAGGCAUAGAAUAUAAUGGGGAAGAAACAAAGUCCUAGAUACGAUCAAUUCAACCAUGUCCGCCAUCCGAGAAGAACAGCCAAACUAGAUAGCGCUGAUGGACAGUAAACUGAAACGAGAGAAAAAAACAGAAUCGAACAGGUUGGUUAGCUAAUUAAAUGUACCCUUAACAAACAUGUAGGUACCCAAUGUAGCAACCAAAAUUACCUUAAUAUGAAGAUAUCCCAACUCUACUUAUGAAAAACAGACAUAAGAACAAGUGACAGGUAGCAGAGACAACAAGUAGAGUUGCAUACGUACCUGAUGAACCCAAG